UAGAGUUUGAUCCUGGCUCAGAUUGAACGCUGGCGGCAUGCUUUACACAUGCAAGUCGAACGGCAGCGCGGGCUUCGGCCUGGCGGCGAGUGGCGAACGGGUGAGUAAUAUAUCGGAACGUACCCAAGAGUGGGGGAUAACGUAGCGAAAGUUACGCUAAUACCGCAUACGAUCUAAGGAUGAAAGCAGGGGACCGCAAGGCCUUGUGCUCCUGGAGCGGCCGAUAUCUGAUUAGCUAGUUGGUGAGGUAAAGGCUCACCAAGGCAACGAUCAGUAGCUGGUCUGAGAGGACGACCAGCCACACUGGAACUGAGACACGGUCCAGACUCCUACGGGAGGCAGCAGUGGGGAAUUUUGGACAAUGGGGGCAACCCUGAUCCAGCAAUGCCGCGUGAGUGAAGAAGGCCUUCGGGUUGUAAAGCUCUUUUGUCAGGGAAGAAAAGGGAGUGGCUAAUAUCCAUUCCUGCUGACGGUACCUGAAGAAUAAGCACCGGCUAACUACGUGCCAGCAGCCGCGGUAAUACGUAGGGUGCAAGCGUUAAUCGGAAUUACUGGGCGUAAAGCGUGCGCAGGCGGUUUCGUAAGUCUGUCGUGAAAUCCCCGGGCUUAACCUGGGAAUGGCGAUGGAGACUGCGAGGCUAGAGUUUGGCAGAGGGGGGUAGAAUUCCACGUGUAGCAGUGAAAUGCGUAGAGAUGUGGAGGAACACCGAUGGCGAAGGCAGCCCCCUGGGUC
rnacentral:rRNA from 1 species